rnacentral:rRNA from 1 species
GCUGGCGGCAGGCCUAACACAUGCAAGUCGAACGGAGUUAUAUUGUAGCUUGCUAUGGUAUAACUUAGUGGCAGACGGGUGAGUAAUGUAUAGGAAUCUACCUAGUAGUACGGAAUAAUUGUUGGAAACGGCAACUAAUACCGUAUACGCCCUACGGGGGAAAAAUUUAUUGCUAUUAGAUGAGCCUAUAUUAGAUUAGCUAGUUGGUGGAGUAAUAGCCUACCAAGGCAAUGAUCUAUAGCUGAUCUGAGAGGAUGAUCAGCCACACUGGAACUGAGAUACGGUCCAGACUCCUACGGGAGGCAGCAGUGGGGAAUAUUGGACAAUGGGCGAAAGCCUGAUCCAGCCAUGCCGCAUGAGUGAAGAAGGCCUUUGGGUUGUAAAGCUCUUUUAGUGAGGAAGAUAAUGACGGUACUCACAGAAGAAGUCCUGGCUAACUCCGUGCCAGCAGCCGCGGUAAUACGGAGAGGGCUAGCGUUAUUCGGAAUUAUUGGGCGUAAAGGGCGCGUAGGCGGAUUAGUAAGUUAAAAGUGAAAUCCCAAGGCUCAACCUUGGAAUUGCUUUUAAAACUGCUAAUCUAGAGAUUGAAAGAGGAUAGAGGAAUUCCUAGUGUAGAGGUGAAAUUCGUAAAUAUUAGGAGGAACACCAGUGGCGAAGGCGUCUAUCUGGUUCAAAUCUGACGCUGAGGCGCGAAGGCGUGGGGAGCAAACAGGAUUAGAUACCCUGGUAGUCCACGCUGUAAACGAUGAAUGUUAAAUAUGGGAAGUUUUACUUUCUGUAUUACAGCUAACGCGUUAAACAUUCCGCCUGG